GGUUGGGUGGGUAGCCUGCCGCCGGUGAGCAAUCGCUGAGGAACGUCUCCCCACCAUCAAAAGGCCGCUCUUCGGAGUUCCCGCGAGGGAAGGCAAACGUCACAGAAACGACACGGCCUGCAAGCGAUCGCACGAUGAGAUCCCGAACGUCCAUGGCGACGUGGACGGAGAUAACGGGUCGAGGAGCUUGCAGGAACCGAUGAAACGGACAGGACCGGCCGGUGCAAGGCCAACACGGCCGCAUAGUGGAAUGCAGGCGCAGUCCCGCCAGGUAACGCCUGGCACACCGUGAAUUCAACCGGUGCGGACUGACAGAAGGGAGCGUACUCCCACCCAACC
rnacentral:RNase_P_RNA from 1 species